UGUAGGUGUGUGGUUCUAUCUUCUCAGAUGCGCAGCCUAGCUAUUGUUUUGUUCGGUGCCGAGCUGUCCAAGAUACAACGCUAAGCACAAUUACUCUAAAAUUAUUUCGUUUUCCAAAAUCGCGACUGAGAAGACAACAAUGCACUGAUAACAUACUGUAAGAUUCGCGAUUAUGGUUCGAAGGGUCCGUUGUAUGAAUUGCGCUUAUUCGUUCAUUUGUGUUGCGCAUAUUGGCUCUUGCUGAGUUGCUGUCGUCUUCCGUGAGAGUUUAGAUACCUGCUGGUUCUGAAACCACAGGACCAUAUGUAACUAAUAAUAACAAUAAAAACAACUCGCCAAAAAAUUAUAGACGAGGCCGAAGGCCGUUUUUGUUACUAUUAUUAGUUACAUAUGGUCCUGUGCUGAAACUGAUUGGAAGCGGAUGGUGUACGAUCCUUAUAUGGAAACGGGCUAAAGGGACAGCACUCUCAUGAAGACCCUGACUAGGAUGUUUUGUAAACAAACGCCGUAAAGUUGAAGUAACUCGAUCAGGUAAGUUUGCUGUUUUAGUUUAUUCUAACCACAGUAGUAUUUUAGAAAUGUAUUUUAGCAGGGGUAGGGUGAUAUUUGUACAUAGUUUCACUUGAUAAUCAUGAAUAUCCGCGAUGUUGUCUCGUUCACAUGUUCACUUCCUGCAUGGUUAUGUCGAUACUCCUGAUCAGCUGAUCGUUGAAGUAUGCAGCAAACUCCUGUUGAUGGAGUAAGUUGUGUUACGUAAUGUUUUAGUUUUUCUGCCAUUCCCGUCUGGAAUUAACACAAAUCAUCUCUUUCGGUAAUUAAUAAACUUUUAUAAUAACACAGGAAAACAAAUUAUAAAUUAAAUAAACUCAUUGAAAUUCUGUGUGUGUUUGUGUGUACCUAAUCUUUAAAUAAUCAUGUACAAUAAUUUUGAUUCAGACUGUUGAAGCAAAAAUCCGCAAAAAUACAUUGUUGCAACAUGUUUAUUUUUUAUAUUUAGGCUUUAUAUAUUUUUUAUUCAAAAAGAUAUCUGGUUUUGCUGGUUUGUAGCUGACAAAAUAUCCAGUCACUAUCCAAAAUCAUCGCCCACCUACCACCCAAAAUAUUCAAAUUUCAUGUUCAAUUGUUCGGUAUAUGAUCUCUGCCAUUUUAUAUUUUGUGAUAGUGAGAUAUUGAUGACAAAAGUGUUAAUGUUUCUAUGUUGUAUCUUUCAAAUAUGAAGUUUCGAGCCAAGUCAUGCCAGACACCGAUGCCCAGAUAGUACAUGUCCCCAGUCCAUCAUGGUGUAAAGUCACUGUCCAAUGUACACCAGAAGCAUGGCACACCGUGCUUCACAGUUUGAGGUCCCACAAUGAUAUGGAAGAGUAUAAAUGCGACAAAGCCCUUUCCAUAUUCAUAUAAAAUCUCUGUAAAAAACAGUUGAUGGUACGAUUCUGACUAAAUCAUGAGCACGUGUUAAUGAAUCGCUAUCAAAUAGUGAUAAUACCAGGUGUUCGCGGAAGGUGAGAGUAUCCUGCCCCAACGGUGUCACAAGAAAUCCUGGUGUUGACAUCCAUUUUCAUUGUGUGCAAAUUGUGUUUAUUUUCAUGCAGAUUUACAAGUCAUAAAAUAUUAGAGUGUCUUGUGAGGUACAGUGCUUAAGACAACAAGAGAGCUGUACUUUUGAAAUAGUCAACCAGUGCACUAACAAGUUGCCACUGAGCAUUUAGCCAGUGCUUGUGAUAUUUUCUUCAGUCUUUUCCCCGGCCUUCGCCCUUGCCCAAAACUACCUGAUCCAGCCUCAGCCAUCCUGUAUUACAGAAACUUAUCAAAUGAAACAGCAAAGGCUGAUUGUUGUCAGAGACCAUAAAACGAGAUUUCAAUGAAAAAAGUUUAUUUUAAUGAGCAUAGAGAAAAACAUUACAUACAUCAGAUGGAAAUCUUUCAUGACUCACCUCGACAACACAAGAUGGAAUAACCUUUCUCUGAUUCUUCAACUAUUUCUGCAAAUCCCCAAAGUGAACCUCUUGUUUAUGAGGUGUAGAUAGAUUCUGAAAUGAAAAAGUGUCUUUUAUUAGUCAAGCUAUGCAUAACAUUACAAAAAGAUAUCAUACCAUUUACAUAUAUAUUUUUGUCAUUAAAUCUAGAGGGAUGCUUAUAUAAGAAGUAACUUGUAUUGAUGAUAUAUGCAUACUUUUUAUUACAUGUUAAUAAUUCAAUAAAUACCAAAACAGUUUAUAGUUCUAUCAUGUUGACAUGAUGUGUUUAUUACUGUAGGUUUGAAUACUUCUUGAAAUAUUGUGGGCAUGUUUCAAUAUCACUGAUGUAAUUUAAUAACCUUACAAGUUACAUAUGCUUUCACAACUUGCUGGCAAAUAAACAUUUAUGGUACUC